rnacentral:rRNA from 1 species
CUGUCUGCUAAAUAGUGUUCGCUUCUCUUAUUGAGCGAACAAUUCUUCUUAGAGGGACUGGCGACUCAUAGUCGCACGAGAUUGAGCAAUAACAGGUCUGUGAUGCCCUUAGAUGUUCUGGGCCGCACACGCGCUACACUGAAUAGAUCAGCGUGUUCUCCCUUCCCGAGAGGGACGGGUAAACCGCUGAACCCUAUUCGUGGUAGGGAUCGGGGCUUGCAAUUAUUCCCCGUGAACCAGGAAUUCCCAGUAGGCGCAAGUCAUAAGCUUGCGUCGAUUACGUCCCUGCCGUUUGUACACACCGCCCGUCGCUACUACCGAUUGAACGUUUUAGUGAGGUCCUCAGACUGUUUGCUUGGCGGAUUACUCUGCCUGGCUGGCGGGAAGACGACCAAACUGUAGCGUUUAGAGGAAGUAAAAGUCGUAACAAGGU